AUUGAACGCUGGCGGCAGGCCUAACACAUGCAAGUCGAGCGAGCGGCGGAGGGGAGAGUAAUGCCUGGGAAUUGCCCAGUCGAGGGGGAUAACAGUUGGAAACGAGUGCUAAUACCGCAUACGUUGAGCGUGCCCAGGUGGGAUGAGCUAGUUGGUGAGGUAAUGGCUCACCAAGGCGACGAUCCCUAGCGGGUCUGAGAGGAUGAUCCGCCACACUGGAACUGAGACACGGUCCAGACUCCUACGGGAGGCAGCAGUGGGGAAUAUUGCACAAUGGGGGAAAGCCUGAUGCAGCCAUGCCGCGUGUGUGAAGAAGGCCUUCGGGUUGUAAAGGACUUUUGGCAGGGAAGCGUUACUCGCAGAAGAAGCACCGGCUAACUCCGUGCCAGCAGCCGCGGUAAUAC
rnacentral:rRNA from 1 species